UCGUGCAAAUCCUAAUGACUCAGCACACGAGCGCGAUGCACGUUCUUCAUCUAGGGAGCGGACUACUGGGCCUUCCCUAAAUCGUCUUACCCUGCUACUACCUUUUCUACAGAAUCCAACACUUCUGCAGAAUUCAACGCUCCUUGCUUUGCUUCUUGCUGCUAUACGAUAAGCUGCUCCUUAACCAACAGCUAUUACUGCCACAAACCAACAAUGAAUAAAAACCUAUGUUGAAUUGCA